rnacentral:rRNA from 1 species
AGUGGGGAAUAUUGCACAAUGGAGGAAACUCUGAUGCAGCAACGCCGCGUGGAGGAUGACGCAUUUCGGUGUGUAAACUCCUUUUAUAUAGGAAGAUAAUGACGGUACUAUAUGAAUAAGCACCGGCUAACUCCGUGCCAGCAGCCGCGGUAAUACGGAGGGUGCAAGCGUUACUCGGAAUCACUGGGCGUAAAGCGCAUGCAGGCGGUUUAUUAAGUUGGAAGUGAAAUCCUAUGGCUCAACCAUAGAACUGCUUCCAAAACUGAUAAACUAGAGUCUGGGAGGGGAAGAUGGAAUUAGUAGUGUAGGGGUAAAAUCCGUAGAGAUUACUAGGAAUACCAAAAGCGAAGGCGAUCUUCUGGAACAGUACUGACGCUGAGAUGCGAAAGCGUGGGGAGCAAACAGGAUUAGAUACCCUGGUAGUCCACGCAGUAAACGAUGAAUGUUAGUCGUUGGGACUCUAGUAGUUUCAGUGAUGCAGUUAACACAUUAAACAUUCCGCCUGGGGAGUACGGUCGCAAGAUUAAAACUCAAAGGAAUAGACGGGGACCCGCACAAGUGGUGGAGCAUGUGGUUUAAUUCGAAGAUACGCGAAGAACCUUACCUAGCCUUGACAUACUACAGAAUUUGACAGAGAUGUUGGAGUGCCUUCGGGAGCUGUAAUACAGGUGCUGCACGGCUGUCGUCAGCUCGUGUCGUGAGAUGUUGGGUUAAGUCCCGCAACGAGCGCAACCCUCGUCCUUAGUUACUAACGGUUCGGCCGAGGACUCUAAGGAGACUGCCUUCGUAAGGAGGAGGAAGGUGAGGACGACGUCAAGUCAUCAUGGCCCUUACGGCUAGGGCAACACACGUGCUACAAUGGUUAGGACAAUGAGAAGCGAUACCGCGAGGUGGAGCAAAUCUAUAAACCUAAUCUCAGUUCGGAUAGCAGUCUGCAACUCGACUGCUUGAAGCUGGAAUCACUAGUAAUCGUAAAUGAGCUAUGUUACGGUGAAUACGU